GUAGGGAAUAUUGCACAAUGGAGGAAACUCUGAUGCAGCGACGCCGCGUGAGUGAUGAAGGCCUUCGGGUCGUAAAGCUCUGUUGCAGGGGAAGAACACAAUGACGGUACCCUGCUAGAAAGGAUCGGCUAACUUCGUGCCAGCAGCCGCGGUAAGACGAGGGAUCCUAGCGUUGUUCGGAAUUAUUGGGCGUAAAGCGGGUGCAGGUGGCUUGGUAAGUCAGAUGUGAAAGCCUGGGGCUUAACCCCAGAAGUGCAUUUGAUACUGCUGAGCUUGAGUGCUGGAGAGGCUAUUAGAAUUCCUGGUGUAGUGGUGAAAUACGUAGAUAUCAGGAGGAAUACCGGAGGCGAAGGCGGAUAGCUGGCCAGACACUGACACUCAGACCCGAAAGCGUGGGGAUCAAACAGGAUUAGAAACCCUGGUAGUCC
rnacentral:rRNA from 1 species